rnacentral:misc_RNA from 1 species
GAUGAAGAACGUAGCGAAAUGCGAUAAGUAAUGUGAAUUGCAGAAUUCAGUGAAUCAUCGAAUCUUUGAACGCACAUUGCGCCCGCCAGUAUUCUGGCGGGCAUGCCUGUUCGAGCGUCAUUUCAACCAUCAAGCCCCGGGCUUGUGUUGGGGACCUGCGGCUGCCGCAGGCCCUGAAAUGCAGUGGCGGGCUCGCUGUCACUCCGAGCGUAGUAGUUACAUCUCGCUCUGGGCGUGCUGCGGGUUCCGGCCGUUAAAAGCCUUAUUUACCCAAGGUUGACCUCGGAUCAGGUAGGAAGACCCGCUGAACUUAAGCAUAUCAAUAAGCGGGGA